GAUGAAGAACGUAGCGAAAUGCGAUAAGUAAUGUGAAUUGCAGAAUUCAGUGAAUCAUCGAAUCUUUGAACGCACCUUGCGCCCUUUGGCCAUUCCGAAGGGCAUGCCUGUUUGAGUAUCAUGAACACCUCAACUCUUUAUGGUUUUCCAUGAUGAGCUUGGACUCUGGGGGUUUUGCUGGCUCACAGUCGGCUCCUCUAAAAUAAAUCAGCUUACCAGUGUUUGGUGGGUAUCAUGGGUGUGAUAACUAUCUACGCUUGUGGUUUUUCCACCAGGUAACCUUCAGCAGUGGAGGUUCGCUGGAGCUCAUAGAUGUCUCUCCUCAGUGAGGACAGCCCUUUGAAUGUUUGAUCUCAAAUCAGGUAGGACUACCCGCUGAACUUAAGCAUAUCAAUAAGCGGUGGA
rnacentral:misc_RNA from 1 species